CGAGGGGCAUCAGGAUGUAGCAAUACAUUGCUGGCGACCGGCGCACGGGUGAGUAACACGUAUCCAACCUGCCUUUUACUCGGGGAUAGGCUUUCGAAAGAAAGAUUAAUACCCGAUGGUAUAAUAUUUCCGCAUGGGAUUAUUAUUAAAGAAUUUCGGUAAAAGAUGGGGAUGCGUUCCAUUAGGCAGUUGGCGGGGUAACGGCCCACCAAACCUUCGAUGGAUAGGGGUUCUGAGAGGAAGGUCCCCCACAUUGGAACUGAGACACGGUCCAAACUCCUACGGGAGGCAGCAGUGAGGAAUAUUGGUCAAUGGGCGAGAGCCUGAACCAGCCAAGUAGCGUGAAGGAUGACUGCCCUAUGGGUUGUAAACUUCUUUUAUAGGGGAAUAAAAUGAGCCACGUGUGGCUUUUUGUAUGUACCCUAUGAAUAAGGAUCGGCUAACUCCGUGCCAGCAGCCGCGGUAAUACGGAGGAUCCGAGCGUUAUCCGGAUUUAUUGGGUUUAAAGGGAGCGUAGGUGGACAUGUAAGUCAGUUGUGAAAGUUUGCGGCUCAACCGUAAAAUUGCAGUUGAUACUGUGUGUCUUGAGUACAGUAGAGGUGGGCGGAAUUCGUGGGUAGCGG
rnacentral:rRNA from 1 species